GCGAUGGCGGCCACGCCGGCCAGACAGGAAGGGCCGAUUUCAGACCACAGCAAGACGAUGACGACCAGCGCCUGAAGCGGUCCGACCCAAAGAUCGUCCGGACCAAACAUCGUCACUGACCUUCUGGUAGAUCAUGUGA